UGCAGAGGGGGCAAGCGUUGUUCGGAAUUACUGGGCGUAAAGGGCGCGUAGGCGGCCUGUUAAGUCGAACGUGAAAUCCCCGGGCUCAACCCGGGAACUGCGUCCGAUACUGGCAGGCUUGAAUCCGGGAGAGGGAUGCGGAAUUCCAGGUGUAGCGGUGAAAUGCGUAGAUAUCUGGAGGAACACCGGUGGCGAAGGCGGCAUCCUGGACCGGCAUUGACGCUGAGGCGCGAAAGCCAGGGGAGCAAACGGG
rnacentral:rRNA from 1 species